GACGAACGCUGGCGGCGUGCCUAAUACAUGCAAGUCGUGCGGACCUUGUUGAAAGCUUGCUUUUAAAAGGUUAGCGGCGGACGGGUGAGUAACACGUGGGCAACCUGCCUGUAAGACUGGGAUAACGCCGGGAAACCGGGGCUAAUACCAGAUCGUUUUUUCCUCCGCAUGGAGGAAAAAGGAAAGGCGGCUUCGGCUGCCACUUACAGAUGGGCCCGCGGCGCAUUAGCUAGUUGGCGGGGUAAUGGCCCACCAAGGCAACGAUGCGUAGCCGACCUGAGAGGGUGAUCGGCCACAUUGGGACUGAGACACGGCCCAAACUCCUACGGGAGGCAGCAGUAGGGAAUCAUCCGCAAUGGACGAAAGUCUGACGGAGCAACGCCGCGUGAGUGAAGAAGGCCUUCGGGUCGUAAAACUCUGUUGCCGGGGAAGAACAAGUGCCGUUCGAACAGGGCGGCGCCUUGACGGUACCCGGCCAGAAAGCCACGGCUAACUACGUG
rnacentral:rRNA from 1 species